UGGGGAAUUGUUCGCAAUGGGCGCAAGCCUGACGACGCAACGCCGCGUGGAGGAUGAAGAUUUUCGGAUCGUAAACUCCUUUCGAUCGAGACGAAUGGCCCUUGGGUGAAUAGCCUGAGGGAAUGACGGUACCGAGAGAAGAAGCCCCGGCUAACUCCGUGCCAGCAGCCGCGGUAAUACGUAGGGACCAAGCGUUGUUCGGAUUUACUGGGCGUAAAGGGCGCGUAGGCGGCAAUUCAAGUCAUCUGUGAAAUCUCCGGGCUUAACUCGGAACGGUCAGAUGAUACUGCUUUGCUAGAGUGCAGAAGGGGCAAUCGGAAUUCUUGGUGUAGCGGUGAAAUGCGUAGAGAUCGGGAGGAAGGCCGGUGGCGAAGGCGGCGCUCUGGAACAUAUCUGACGCUGAGGCUCGAAAGCGUGGGGAGCGAAACAGGAUUAGAUACCCGAGUAGUCCCUGAGCGGGCUGGCAAGGCGCAU
rnacentral:rRNA from 1 species